AACAUUUAAAGGCGGAAACAAAUUAUCGGACGCGGCUGACGGACGCGACUGACAGCCGUGACUUAUACAUAUCUGGUUAGGAAAA